CAGCAGGCGCGCAAAUUACCCACUCCCGGCACGGGGAGGUAGUGACGAAAAAUAACGAUACGGGACUCAUCCGAGGCCCCGUAAUCGGAAUGAGUACACUUUAAAUCCUUUAACGAGGAUCAAUUGGAGGGCAAGUCUGGUGCCAGCAGCCGCGGUAAUUCAAGCUCCAAUAGCGUAUAUUAAAGUUGUUGCGGUUAAAAAGCUCGUAGUUGAAUCUGUGUGCCACGCUGACGGUUCAUCGCUCGCGGUGUUAACUUGUCAGAUUGUGGUACGUCCUACCGGUGGACUUAGCCCUCACGGGGGCGGUCCAAUUAUCUCCCAUCGCGGUGCUCUUUAUUGAGUGUCGAGGUGGGCCGGUACGUUUACUUUGAACAAAUUAAAGUGCUUAAAGCAGGCUAAUUUCGCCUGAAUAUUAUGUGCAUGGAAUAAUGGAAUAGGACCUCGGUUCUAUUUUGUUGGUUUUCGGAACCCCGAGGUAAUGAUUAAUAGGGACAGAUGGGGGCAUUCGUAUUGCGACGUUAGAGGUGAAAUUCUUGAU
rnacentral:rRNA from 1 species